UAAAAAAUAGUGUAGUGGGUGCACGAGGGGUUUUGAUCCUCUAAGGGCAGGUUCGAGUCCUGUUUUUUUA
rnacentral:tRNA from 1 species